CAAGAUCGGUAACUAACACUUA
rnacentral:miRNA from 10 species